UACGUAGGUGGCAAGCGUUAUCCGGAUUUAUUGGGCGUAAAGGGAACGCAGGCGGUCUUUUAAGUCUGAUGUGUAAGCCUUCGGCUUAACCGGAGUAGUGCAUUGGAAACUGGGAGACUUGAGUGCAGAAGAGGAGAGUGGAACUCCAUGUGUAGCGGUGAAAUGCGUAGAUAUAUGGAAGAACACCAGUGGCGAAAGCGGCUCUCUGGUCUGUAACUGACGCUGAGGUUCGAAAGCGUGGGUAGCAAACAGG
rnacentral:rRNA from 1 species